AACGAACGCUGGCGGCAUGCCUAACACAUGCAAGUCGAACGAGACCUUCGGGUCUAUUUGCGCACGGGUGCGUAACGCGUGGUAACCUGCCCUUAGGUUCGGUAUAACUCACUUAAAGGUGUGCUAAUACCAGUUAAUGUCUUCUCACCAAAGAUUUAUCGCCUUUUGGUGGGCCCGGGUUGGAUUAGCUGGUUGGUAGGGUAAAAGCAGAUCAAGGCGAGGAUCCAUAGCUGGUCUGAGAGGAUGAUCAGCCACACUGGGACUGAGACACGGCCCAGACUCCGACGGGAGGGAGCAGUGGGGAAUAUUGGACAAUGGGCGAAAGCGUGAUCCAGCAAUGCCGGGUGAGUGAUGAAGGCCUUAGGGUUGUAAAGCUCUUUUACACGGGAUGAUAAUGACAGUAACGGGAGAAUAAGCUCCGGCUAACUACGUG
rnacentral:rRNA from 1 species